CUGGGCUUAGUCCUGAGCUUGGGGACGGAGUGCGGCGUUUGGAGCUGUGAGGCCGGGAGGAACGCGUGAGCGUGUGCGUCCCUCCGAGCUCUGUGCCAUGAGGAAUUUCAAAGGAGUUGACUUUGGGACGCUACUAAGCAGUCAGAAGGAGGCUGAAGCAUUACUGUCUGACUUGAAGGAAUUCCUGUCCAAGCCUGCAGCUGAUUUUCCCAACAGCCGAUCCGAUUCUGAAAGAAGACACACUUGUGAUGCGAUCCUGAGGGCUUGCAACCAGCAGUUGACAUCCAAGCUAGCUUGUCCUAGGCACCUGGGCAGUCUGGUGGAGCUGGCAGGGCUGGCCUGUGAUGGCUAC